UAAACACCGGUUCCCGUACGAUCACCAAAGUUACGCAACGUCAAGCCUGGUCAAUACCUAGAUGAGUGACCGCUUAGGAAUACCAGCUGCUGUAAG